rnacentral:piRNA from 1 species
AGGCUGUAUACAUAAUAAAUAAAU